rnacentral:rRNA from 1 species
GACAGAGGGGGCAAGCGUUGCUCGGAAUCACUGGGCGUAAAGGGCGCGUAGGUGGCCAACUAAGUCAGACGUGAAAUCCCUCGGCUUAACCGGGGAACUGCGUCUGAUACUGGAUGGCUUGAGUUUGGGAGAGGGAUGCGGAAUUCCAGGUGUAGCGGUGAAAUGCGUAGAUAUCUGGAGGAACACCGGUGGCGAAGGCGGCAUCCUGGACCAACACUGACACUGAGGAGCGAAAGCCAGGGGAGCAAACGGG